rnacentral:rRNA from 1 species
GAUGAACGCUAGCGGCAGGCUUAACACAUGCAAGUCGAGGGGCAGCAUAAACAUUGCUUGCAAUGUUUGAUGGCGACCGGCGCACGGGUGCGUAACGCGUAUGUAACCUACCUCAAACAGGGGCAUAACACUGAGAAAUUGGUACUAAUUCCCCAUAACACUUCGGGAGGCAUCUUCUGUGGUUGAAAGUUCCGGCGGUUUGAGAUGGACAUGCGUUGUAUUAGCUAGUUGGUGAGGUAACGGCUCACCAAGGCGACGAUACAUAGGGGGACUGAGAGGUUAACCCCCCACAUUGGUACUGAGACACGGGACCAAACUCCUACGGGAGGCAGCAGUGAGGAAUAUUGGUCAAUGGACGCAAGUCUGACCAGCCAUGCCGCGUGCAGGAUGACGGCUCUA